rnacentral:rRNA from 1 species
CCUACGGGUGGCAGCAGUGGGGAAUAUUGCACAAUGGGGGAAACCCUGAUGCAGCGACGCCGCGUGAGUGAAGAAGUAUUUCGGUAUGUAAAGCUCUAUCAGCAGGGAAGAAAUAGCUACCGUUACGUCGCCAAUCAGUCCCUGAUUAAUAAGCCCCGGCUAACUACGUGCCAGCAGCCGCGGUAAUACGUAGGGGGCAAGCGUUAUCCGGAUUGACUGGGGGUAAAGGGGGCGUAGACGGCAGCGCAAGUCUGAAGUGAAAUGCCGGGGCUUAACCCCGGAACUGCUAUGGAAUCUGUGGAGCUAGAGUGCAGGAGAGGUAAGCGGAAUUCCUAGUGUAGCGGUGAAAUGCGUAGAUAUUAGGAGGAACACCAGUGGCGAAGGCGGCUUACUGGACUGUAACUGACGUUGAGGCUCGAAAGCGUGGGGAGCAAACAGGAUUAGAUACCCCAGUAGUC